AGAGGAGGAGUUUGUUGACGUGGCUCCGGAACGGCAAGGCCGAGAUCCCGCCGCAGAAACGGAGUCUGGCUCCCACCGCCACAUCAAAUUACAAGUAAAUUGCAGCGCAGUCAUCAUUCAGAACGUCCUGAAGUCAGGCUGAAGCCACAUCGAGACUGCUCCGGGAUAGCAGCUCGAAAGGCACCGAGGACAUAUGGGGAGGAACUGAAUUGUCUGGCAUCAGGACCAGAGCUGGGGGAGGGGGCAGCUUUCUCCCAGACACAGAGCCAGCAGGGGAGCGCCCCACCCAACUUUCAGACCUACUCAAAGUGUUUCCAGUGGCUUUUCCAUACGAAUGACCUAUCUUGGCUCACACUUCAGACUUUCCUAACAUCUCUCAAGCAAGCAGCACCUGGCCUCAGCGUGCAGCACCUCUUGCUAAGUGGCAACCAGCCGUGUUUUGCAGCUUGGCCUCUUCUGAGCACCCCCAAGCCCAGCGCAAGUACCGGCUAUCUGCAGAUCGCUUUGUAACUCUGGCCAGGUGGCCCUGGGCAGAACACAGGCAGGGUCUGGUCUUGGCCUGCACCUCCCGGAAGGUCCCAGAGCCAGUGCACCCGGUGGAUAGCUUCAGACCACACUGAAGCACCACACAACCUCCUCCACAGGGGACAUACUCAAGGGGUGGACUUAGCAGGCACUAGAGCUCUGCUAAAGUAAGUCCUGCUUUGUGUGUGUGUGUGCACAGUGACUGGGGAGGCUUUGCCACUGAAUCCUACGGGACACGUGUUAUAGGCCACUCUGCCAAGCCUGGAGAUAUAGCCGCUCUGCACCUAGAAACAAACACAGAGUAGGUGCCAAAAGGAGGAGACAAAGAAACAUGUCCCAAAGGAAAGAACAGAACCAAACUCCAGAAAAAGAACUAAACAAAAUGGAGACAAGCAAUCUACCAGAUGCAGAGUUCAAAACACUGGUUAUAAAGAUACUCAGUGAACUUAGGGAAACAGUAGUUGACCUUGAGAGAACUUCAAUACAUGAGUAAGGACAUGGAAAACAU